CACCAUAUUGCAUUGCAGUUGCAGCGAACAUCUCAAAACUACCUGACGAUACACGAGUUUGGUCACCGAGACACUCGAAUCGCCGCCAAUAAACAAAUCACCUCCCCCUCUCCUCACCUUCAGAGUCUCUACACGGCUGCUGCUGCUGCCUCCCUGUCCCUGUACAUAGCAUAGCAUAGCGUAUGCUACACAUCCCCUCCCGGAAAAAGCGUGGGACCGAAACACAUCGGAGGUUCCAACGCCAACCGAUCUUGUUCGAGCGCCGGCCUUACUGCUGCACAGCCUGAUAGCUGGAGCGGCUGGAAGGGAAGACUGGGAUGGCGCCGAAAUCGCCAGGUCUUAUACCGCCCUGGUGAUGUCCAUGGUCCCUCCUCGCUCGCGACUUCUCCACCCGGGUUCGCCGGAACACUUCUUGGAUUUGCCGGUCGUUCUCCUUCAGCAUCUCGUCGACGUUGCUGCCUGAAGGACAGGUCAGGGGCCCAGAGUGGUGGAUCUUGCUGCCUUUGGAUCCGUAGCCCUGUUUCGUCAAGAGCCAGAAAAUGGUAGGACGUUACUUACAAUAGCUCCAUCAGCCCUAAUGUUCCUGUCAUCCUUCUUCGGGAACACUUGAUCGUACUUCCCACUGUUACUGAAAUGCUCAUUGAUGGACUCCGACAGCCUCCGCCCAUGAGCAAAUGCUUCAGCUUGAGCGACCAUUGUCCGGCCGCUAUCGUCUGCCCGGGGACCUGAUCUUGUCGACAAAACCACAGGGUGAUUCGCAACACCAGGGACCUGAGGUUCACCAUUUUUGCCGCCUCCAGCCUUUGAUGGCUGGCUCUGGUUAACUAGAGGCCCAGAAUGGAAGAUCCUGGUUGGGUAGGCACGUUGUGGGUCUUCAGAAGACUCGGUAACAGGAGUUGGCCGGGGUGGUUCGAUUCGGAAUCCGGACGCGGAGUCUUCUUUGCAGGGAUUGAACAUUUCGCUCCUGCUCCUGGUAUUAGCUUGGGCUUGCCUUUUCUGAGGUCAAAGAUAUUCAUACAGCAAGCAACACAGGUUAUGUAUGGUUUGAAAUGAUAAAAAAAACAAGUAGUACAUGUGCAUCUCCAAAGCUAAAGAUAAAGGAAGUGUCAACUGUCAACAAGUGGAGAAUUACCUGCAAUGAUGAUACUAAUUCUGCAUUUGCCUCAGGGGCAGGGACUGCUCUUGAUUCUCUGGUUCUUCUUUCAGGGUCAUGUUUAUGUUGCUUUCCUCCAGUAACACCUUGCCUAAAAAGUGCAUGACUAUGAUUUGUAAAAAAAAAAUCAAAUGUAUGACAACAAUGCUGGUUGCCUUUUGCUUGAGUAUUGAAAUUUAAAUAGCACAAA